AAAAAUACUUCACCGCUGUAAGUUGUGGGUUUCUUUUCUUUUCUUUUUCUUUUUUUUUUUCCUGUUCCGCCCUACCCACUCUCCACUUUUCUUUUUCUUUUUCUUUUCUUUUCUUUUCUUUUUUUUUAAGCAAGUGGAGAGUGGGCUUGAAGAGCCAACGACACCCUCUCCCCCUUUUCGUACUUAAUUUUCCAGAAAAGCUCUUGAAAUUACAGGUCCCCUCCGGGAAGCCUGUUGCCUCCUUCCGAGCCGCUCUCCCUCCCUUUUCACGUUCCUCUUUCUAGGUAGUGGAUAGGCAAGAAAAUUUUUGCGCCCCCUAAGCCCCUCCCAGCCGUCAAGGACCCUACGGGGGGGGGCGGGGGGGAAGGCUUUUUAACCCUUUCUUCUUCUGUUAUUCUUCGGUCUUAGCUGUUUUCUGAAAGGGAUUGGGGACUCAAAAACAAAGCUGGGCUCCUUCAAGUGUUUGGGAGUGAGGGCGAGGGUUGCCCCUGGGAAUUAGGUGCGAAGGUCAGGAAGGAAGAAGCUGGCUUUGAUUGGCUCUUGACACCUCCUGUGACACCCCCCCUCCAGCUUCCGGUAAGGGUUGGGCAGGAGCCUGUACUUCCCCCCCCCCCCAGCAGAACUUUGAGGGGCUUGGGGGUACCUGGGGCAAAGAAGCUGUCAGAGAGAAGUGGGAGAAAGAGACACAUCGCUUGAGCUCCUGAGUGGAUUUAGAAGUAGAAAAACAUCUCUUUCUAAAGCAGCCAGACUGGUUUGCACUGAAGGAUUGUGCCUGUAAUCUGUGUCUUUGUAGGUACCAGACAGGUAUUGGUGGGGCGGUAGGGGUGGUAGGGUACCUGGCCUGUGUCGCAGGAACCACAAACACCAUCUUGUGAGGGAAUUGCAUGAACUCAAAAGGUCCUCUGCCACCUGAAGCCCACCUUGGCAAGCAUCUGGGAGUUCCUAGCCAAGCUGGCUGCAGCCAGAGUUACUCCAUAAGCCAAUAGCCAUGGCCUUGACUUUGACCUUUAGAAGUCAACCAGAUAGGAGGUCAGGGGUCUUCCAGGGAAGGGUGGAGUGAGCUGGGAAAUAUAAUAAAAAUAUGGCUUUCUUUGUAAUCUGACAAGAGGGGCACCUCUCUCAAAGUAAUGUUCCAUAUCUGGGGAGUCCUUCUAAAUGACUUUUCUGUGUCUAGCUCCUCCCAAGCCCCAUACCUACUAAGCACCCACUGUAGACAGCCUGGUCUGAGCAUUGAGGGUCCAGUCAGUGGACCCUUUCUUACUACUGAACACCCAAAUCAUACCUGAGAAGUAGUCGCUUAUGUUUGCAUCCCAGUACAUUUGGUGUUUUGGGUUGAACCCAAACAUCACUCAUCAAUGGGUUUAGAGUCCUUUAUACCUGUUGUCCCCUACUUUCCAAUCCAAUAACCCCACCCCAUGUACCUCUCCUUUCCAACCAACAUAGAAGCUUUGCGUUUCUGUUUCUUCCACUAAUGAGACCAAGACAGUGAGCACUGACAGUACAAUCUCCCUGCCUGGCUUUGCUCAGACUCUGGGGCCUGGAUGGGAAGUCAGACCGGACAUCAGUGCCCCAACUGAAUAAUCUGUGUCACUAGGGCUUUGAGCCCAGGAUGUGAGCGGAGGCAAUUCCCUGUUUUGGAAGCAAAUCAGACAGGAAACCGAUGCUCGGAUGAAGGAAGAGAGCUCCGUCCAGCAGUGUGUAAUAGGGCCUCAUUACCCAAGCAAAAAGCAGCUGUUGGCUAAUUCCUAGCAUGCUGUAACACAGGAGGAUUUUGCAAUUAGCAGCAACCAGUGCAUGCGAUUCUCAGGUAUAGCUGCCUAUUCUGCUCAGCCUUAUGAGCAAGAAGUCUUUCAAACCAGAGGGAUUGGCAAGGUAAUGCCACUUAAGCCAACUCUCAGCCUUGUCGGGGCGGUGGGUAGGAGACGAGGAACAGGGGGAAGGCUUCCCCCUCCCUGAUCUGGCUGUCUAUAAAACUGUUCUGUGGUCCCAGUGAUAGGCCUCUGUUUUUGUUACUUCCCAAGUCUGUGCUGCUACCCCACCCCAAUCUGGGCUCAAGGUAACUUUAUUACAUGCCAGAUAAAGUCUGUAAUCAGCUCUGCUCCCAGCCCUCUACAUGGGGAAGCUUUCCUGGCAGUUAGUGACUGGGCCUUCCUCCUUUAUGACUGCACGGUGGACCAAUCCAAUCAGUGGAACUUGUGAGAAGUUCCUGGUUUUCCUUGUGCAAGUGCAUACUAUUUUCCCCCUGUUCUCCUUGUUUGUGGGGUCCUGUAUCCCCAUAAAUUUGCUGUCUGGCACUCCCCCCCCGACCCCCCCCCCCGCGACAUCUAGCUUCAUAAGGUCUUAAUACUGCGUCUUAGUACUAAGUACCUAGUACUUCCCCACUGACCUGUGGGGUGGGAGGCAGACAGCUCUUUGUUAAGACCUCUGCUUGUGUCUAUGGCAGGAACUCAAAACACGAAAACUAUUUCCUGUUGUAGCUAUAAUCUCAAUCUCAAAGGUUAAUCAAUCCCUGGCAAUUUAAUUUUUUUUGGAGCUAGGUGGAUGCACCUCUUCCUCCUGGAGUGUGCUUUGUUGUUGUGAUUUUCUUUUUCCUGGGACAACACCUCCAGAUAUAUGCUGUGCCCUGCUCCUUGGCUGUUACGGUUUCAGGGCCCUGGCAUUACGCAAUCCAGCCAGUUACACAAACAUAGGUCAUUUCAUAACUUGUUUUCUUCAGCCAGGCCCCCUUC
rnacentral:lncRNA from 1 species